CACAGCUAAAAAGACAAUCAGAUAUGUUAUCAGGGAUUUCCUGGUAAGGCUGCUGGCUACUAUUAGUUCAGAAUACUGAGGUUGUGAUGAGAAAAAUGGCUGUGAGUUUUGAAGUGUCUGUGAGAAUUUCUUGGAUUGUUGCCUGCUAAUUGGAGGGAUAACCUGUUAUUCUCCACCUAAAGGUAAUUAUAGAUAUAUUCCCCAAAAUCAAUUAAAAGGAACUGGCCACAAUGCAGCGGAAGCUACCGGCUCCCGUAUCUCGGCAAGUGAAGCAGCCACUAAUAAUGCCUCAGCAAGCGUCAUGACUGGCCUAAAUGUGGCCAGCUGCUUCAGCUGAGGUAGUGACGAGCAAGCGGCCACCCAUAAUGACUCGGCAGCGGAAGUAGCCACGCACAAUGUUUCGGCAAGUGUGGCAACUGGCCCAAAUACCUUAGGUGACGCAACUGGCCACGGUGCAGCGGAAGCAACUGGACACAGUGCCACGCAAGCGGCCACCCAUAAUGCCUCGGAAGUGGCCACCCACAAUGCCUCAGCAAGCGUCACGACUGGCCUAAAUACCUUAGGUGAAGCAACUGUCCACAGGCCCCCUUGCAGGAGGCGCCCUUGCCGACGCGCCCUUGCCUCGGCAGGGGCCACAGGCCUUGAACAGGAGGGCCAACUUCUCAAGCAACAUGGAUUUUAGCAGCAGUGAUGUUCCUCAGGAUUUUGGGUCUGACGGUGACAAUGAAGCACCCAAUGUGUCAGCUCCAGCAGCGUUCAAGGCAACAUCGUUGAACAGUCAGUUCUCAUCUCAAUAUAGUUACAAAUCGGUGUAUGAGAGUUAAACUUUCUACUCCCAAACCUGUAUACCACUGGGGAGGUUAUACCUUUUUGAUAGCGGAGAUGCUCUCAAGGACUGCAGUGACGUUGACAUCUCUGAACCAAGCAUAUCCCCACCUGCUAAAAACUCCUCCACAAGGUAACGGCUACUGGGAUGCAAUGUAAUGUUCAACUUUUACACUGAUCGGAACUUUGUGUUCUGAUUUUGAAAUCCUUUGUACUAAUCAGCUAUCAACAGAAUUGCAAUGGUAGAUUCAUCCUUUGGAUGACAAUUCUGAGUUGUUGCUGACACUAAGCUUCCACUGGAUGCUUUUGCGUCGGCCAGAAAUGCUGCUGCUCAUGCUACCCUGCAUUACUUGUAAAACACAAUAAAAUAUUGUACCUUUAAAA